ACAUAAAAGUAAAACCAAAUACAUAUAACUUAAUAUAUCCAUAUUUAGAAAACGAAAAUUAGACCUUUCCUUACCCAACAUCUCUCCUUUAUAUCGCCGGAGUUUAGUGCUGAUUUGGCUCCCGACUAGCUCGUGCUCUUGGCUCCGGGAAACGGUUGCUCUCUCAUAACUGUUUUGCUGGCUUCUGGUUCUAUCGCCUCAUCCCACCUUGUGUUUUCCGUCGGAUCUUUACGGUGUGAGGUUUUAAAGCGAUUUGGUGAUCCUUCGUGCUGCGGAUCUUGAGCUUUUGUUGUCAGCAGUUUUGUUGAUCUGGCUUCCUGUUCUGGUGUGUCCCGGUGGACGGCCGUUUUGAAUUCGACGGACUUUCCUUUGGCUGAAGUUGGCGACAUUUCUGUAUCUUCACACGUAUUGACUCCGGUGGAGCUCUCGACUAUAGGCCGCCAACUUCCUUGGGCUAUCUUUUGUAUGCUGGGCUUUAUGCCUCUUUGUUUUUAUAUUUCUGCCUUUGGGCCUUUUUAUGUAUUUGGACCUUUGUUUAAUAAUCAAAGAUGACAAAAAAACCUCUCCUUACCAAUUGUUACGUAAAAGCAACAUGUUUACAUAUAUAAUAAACCAACUAGAGUCAAUUGUUUA